CGUUCCCGGGUCUUGUACACACCGCCCGUCACACCACGAGAGUUUACGACACCCGAAGCCGGUGGGGUAACCGCAAGGAGCCAGCCGUCGAAGGUGGGGUAGAUGAUUGGGGUG
rnacentral:rRNA from 1 species